AUGGGAUGGAGUUGAUGUUUAUCAUAGCCACCAACUGUUGGCACAGGAAAGAGGGUCUUGCCAUGUAGCCUGAACUUGGGAACGUUCCUGGCUGAGCCCCUUUAAAUAGUAAGCACAGCAAAAGAGAACUAGAAGCUGAUUCCUUAUCUUCCUCUUUUCACCCCAAAAUGUAGAGGGCAUUUCCCUUCUGGUCUUGUCCUCCACAUGAGCCAGCUCCUGUGAGAACUUUAGCCUUGGAGAUGGGGUUCAGCUGGGCUGUUCACCAAGACAGGCACCUGCUGCCAAUUCUCCUCGGUGAGAUUCACAGAUUUAUACGGGAGAAAGAUGGGUCAUCACCACAUAAACAAAUGCCCUUCUCUUGUAUAUCACUGGCUUCCCAUUAUCUUCAGCAUGAAAUCUUAACUUCUUAACGGUCAUGGACACAAGAUGUCAGCUCUGCCGAUCUCUUUCUACUUCUCCCCAACUCUAUGCAUCCUCUCAUUUACUAUGCUUCGAUCUCACUGGCCUUUCUAUGCCCUUGGACCUUCUCAAUUGAUGAAGAUCAAAUGGUCAUAAAGGCCUUCAACAGAGCUGCAGAGAUAUAACUAGGCAGCUGAGCGAGUACUGGCCAUCAAUUCUGAUAAGUAUAUUGACUGGUGUCUGGUCACCUACAGAGAUACUUCUGUCCCCUAGAGUUUGGGACAUAAACUUACCAGGAAUCCACUGUGAUGACCCACAAAUUUACACAUGAGAGUUAAAUCUGAUCAUGUCAUCACUUGGUGUAAUGAAAAACUGUUUAAAAAAAAAACACAAUUAAAUAUGAGUGGGAACCAGGCAGUUUCCUUAGACCUCAGGAUAAAUACUUUGUGAAGACAUUCUAAAUGUCAAUGA
rnacentral:lncRNA from 1 species